rnacentral:rRNA from 1 species
CCUANGGGAGGCAGCAGUGAGGAAUCUUGCGCAAUGGGGGAAACCCUGACGCAGCAACGCCGCGUGGGUGAAGAAGGCCUUCGGGUCGUAAAGCCCUGUCUGGUGGGAAGAAACGCCUGGGUGUAAAUAGCAUCCGGGUCUGACGGUACCACCGAAGGAAGCACCGGCUAACUCCGUGCCAGCAGCCGCGGUAAUACGGAGGGUGCGAGCGUUAUUCGGAAUUACUGGGCGUAAAGCGCGCGUAGGCGGUAAGGUAAGUCAGGUGUGAAAGCCCUCGGCUCAACCGAGGAAGUGCACUUGAAACUACCUUUCUUGAGUACGGGAGAGGGAAGUGGAAUGCCCAGUGUAGAGGUGAAAUUCGUAGAUAUUGGGAGGAACACCGGUGGCGAAGGCGACUUCCUGGACCGAUACUGACGCUAAAGUGCGAAAGCGUGGGGAGCAAACAGGAUUAGAUACCCCANUANUC